rnacentral:misc_RNA from 1 species
ACCGCGUCGCCCCCACCCCAAACCAUUGGGAUUGGGGGCGGAUUGUGGCCCCCCGUGCGCUCCUCGCUCGCGGUCGGCCUAAACACAGACCCCGUGGCCGCGAAACGCUGCGACGUUUGGUGGUUUACUCGUGGCCUUGUGCCUCGAGCAUCGCGUCGUGGCCCUGGUGGACCAUGGGAGCUCAAAGGACCCUGAGGAGGACCGUGUCACCCUCGAGUGGCGUGGGAACCUCCUAACCGUU